rnacentral:rRNA from 1 species
UUAAGCGACUAAGCGUACACGGUGGAUGCCCUGGCAGUCAGAGGCGAUGAAGGACGUGCUAAUCUGCGAAAAGCGUCGGUAAGGUGAUAUGAACCGUUACAGCCGGCGAUGUCCGAAUGGGGAAACCCAGUGCAAUUCGUUGCACUAUCGUUAACUGAAUACAUAGGUUAACGAGGCGAACCGGGGGAACUGAAACAUCUAAGUACCCCGAGGAAAAGAAAUCAACCGAGAUUCCCCCAGUAGCGGCGAGCGAACGGGGAGCAGCCCAGAGUCUGAAUCAGCUUGUGUGUUAGUGGAACGGUCUGGAAAGUCCGACGGUACAGGGUGAUAGUCCCGUACACCAAAAUGCACAGGCUGUGAACUCGAAGAGUAGGGCGGGACACGUGGUAUCCUGUCUGAAUAUGGGGGGACCAUCCUCCAAGGCUAAAUACUCCUGACUGACCGAUAGUGAACCAGUACCGUGAGGGAAAGGCGAAAAGAACCCCGGCGAGGGGAGUGAAAAAGAACCUGAAACCGUGUACGUACAAGCAGUGGGAGCACCUUCGGGUGUGACUGCGUACCUUUUGUAUAAUGGGUCAGCGACUUAUAUUCUGUAGCAAGGUUAACCGUAUAGGGGAGCCGCAGGGAAACCGAGUCUUAACUGGGCGUUAAGUUGCAGGGUAUAGACCCGAAACCCGGUGAUCUAGCCAUGGGCAGGUUGAAGGUUGGGUAACACUAACUGGAGGACCGAACCGACUAAUGUUGAAAAAUUAGCGGAUGACUUGUGGCUGGGGGUGAAAGGCCAAUCAAACCGGGAGAUAGCUGGUUCUCCCCGAAAGCUAUUUAGGUAGCGCCUCGUGAAUUCAUCUUCGGGGGUAGAGCACUGUUUCGGCUAGGGGGUCAUCCCGACUUACCAACCCGAUGCAAACUACGAAUACCGAAGAAUGUUAUCACGGGAGACACACGGCGGGUGCUAACGUCCGUCGUGAAGAGGGAAACAACCCAGACCGCCAGCUAAGGUCCCAAAGUCAUGGUUAAGUGGGAAACGAUGUGGGAAGGCACAGACAGCCAGGAUGUUGGCUUAGAAGCAGCCAUCAUUUAAAGAAAGCGUAAUAGCUCACUGGUCGAGUCGGCCUGCGCGGAAGAUGUAACGGGGCUAAACCAUGCACCGAAGCUGCGGCAGCGACACUAUGUGUUGUUGGGUAGGGGAGCGUUCUGUAAGCCUGCGAAGGUGACCUGUGAGGGUUGCUGGAGGUAUCAGAAGUGCGAAUGCUGACAUAAGUAACGAUAAAGCGGGUGAAAAGCCCGCUCGCCGGAAGACCAAGGGUUCCUGUCCAACGUUAAUCGGGGCAGGGUGAGUCGACCCCUAAGGCGAGGCCGAAAGGCGUAGUCGAUGGGAAACAGGUUAAUAUUCCUGUACUUGGUGUUACUGCGAAGGGGGGACGGAGAAGGCUAUGUUAGCCGGGCGACGGUUGUCCCGGUUUAAGCAUGUAGGCUGGUUAUCCAGGCAAAUCCGGAUAAUCAAGGCUGAGGUGUGAUGACGAGGCACUACGGUGCUGAAGUAACAAAUGCCCUGCUUCCAGGAAAAGCCUCUAAGCAUCAGGUAACAUCAAAUCGUACCCCAAACCGACACAGGUGGUCAGGUAGAGAAUACCAAGGCGCUUGAGAGAACUCGGGUGAAGGAACUAGGCAAAAUGGUGCCGUAACUUCGGGAGAAGGCACGCUGGUGUGUAGGUGAAGCCCCUGCGGGUGGAGCUGAGACCAGUCGAAGAUACCAGCUGGCUGCAACUGUUUAUUAAAAACACAGCACUGUGCAAACACGAAAGUGGACGUAUACGGUGUGACGCCUGCCCGGUGCCGGAAGGUUAAUUGAUGGGGUUAUCCGUAAGGAGAAGCUCUUGAUCGAAGCCCCGGUAAACGGCGGCCGUAACUAUAACGGUCCUAAGGUAGCGAAAUUCCUUGUCGGGUAAGUUCCGACCUGCACGAAUGGCGUAAUGAUGGCCAGGCUGUCUCCACCCGAGACUCAGUGAAAUUGAACUCGCUGUGAAGAUGCAGUGUACCCGCGGCAAGACGGAAAGACCCCGUGAACCUUUACUAUAGCUUGACACUGAACAUUGAGCCUUGAUGUGUAGGAUAGGUGGGAGGCUUUGAAGCGUGGACGCCAGUCUGCGUGGAGCCAACCUUGAAAUACCACCCUUUAAUGUUUGAUGUUCUAACGUUGGCCCCUUACCGGGGUUGCGGACAGUGUCUGGUGGGUAGUUUGACUGGGGCGGUCUCCUCCCAAAGCGUAACGGAGGAGCACGAAGGUUAGCUAAUCCUGGUCGGACAUCAGGAGGUUAGUGCAAUGGCAUAAGCUAGCUUGACUGCGAGCGUGACGGCGCGAGCAGGUGCGAAAGCAGGUCAUAGUGAUCCGGUGGUUCUGAAUGGAAGGGCCAUCGCUCAACGGAUAAAAGGUACUCCGGGGAUAACAGGCUGAUACCGCCCAAGAGUUCAUAUCGACGGCGGUGUUUGGCACCUCGAUGUCGGCUCAUCACAUCCUGGGGCUGAAGUAGGUCCCAAGGGUAUGGCUGUUCGCCAUUUAAAGUGGUACGCGAGCUGGGUUUAGAACGUCGUGAGACAGUUCGGUCCCUAUCUGCCGUGGGCGCUGGAGAAUUGAGGGGGGCUGCUCCUAGUACGAGAGGACCGGAGUGGACGCAUCACUGGUGUUCGGGUUGUCAUGCCAAUGGCACUGCCCGGUAGCUAAAUGCGGAAGAGAUAAGUGCUGAAAGCAUCUAAGCACGAAACUUGCCCCGAGAUGAGUUCUCCCUGAGACUUUAAGUCUCCUGAAGGAACGUUAAAGACGAUGACGUUGAUAGGCCGGGUGUGUAAGCGCAGCGAUGCGUUGAGCUAACCGGUACUAAUGAACCGUGAGGCUUAACCUU